rnacentral:rRNA from 1 species
AGAGCGUAGGGAGGAUACCUAGGCACCAAGAGCCGAAGAAGGACGUGAUAAGCUGCGAAAAGCUAUGGUAAGGAGCAAAUAUCCGCUAACCCAUAGAUAUCCGAAUGAGGGAACUCAAUCUGAGUAAAAGUCAGAUUAUCCAUACAUGAGUAAAGUAGUGUAUAGGAAGGGAACGUAGGGAACUGAAACAUCUUAGUACCUACAGGAAAAGAAAGAAAACUCGAUUCCUAAAGUAGUGGCGAGCGAAAUAGGAAGAGCCUAAACUGAGUUUGCUUGCAAAUUCAGGGUAACGGACUGCGGAAUCUACUAAUUAAUGGAAGAAGAAUCGUCUGGGAAGGCGAACCAAAGAAGGUGAAAGUCCUGUAAAAGAAAGAGAUUAGGGAGGCAGUAUCCAGAGUAGUGCGAGACACGUGGAAUCUCGUAUGAAUAAGUGGGGACCACCCCAUAAGGCUAAAUACUCCUUGGUGACCGAUAGAGAUUAGUACCGUGAGGGAAAGGUGAAAAGAACCCCGGGAGGGGAGUGAAAUAGAACAUGAAACCCUAUGCUUACAAACAGACAGAGCACGUUAAGGUGUGAUGUCGUACUUUUUGUAGAACGGUCCAGCGAGUUAUUGUGUAUGGCAAGAUUAAGUACUAAAGGUACGAAGUCGAAGCGAAAGCGAGUCUGAAAAGGGCGAGUAAGUCAUAUAUAAUAGACCCGAAACCGAGUGACCUAACCAUGGUCAGGAUGAAGCUUGAGUAAAAUCAAGUGGAGGUCCGAACUGAUAAGCGUUAAAAAGCUUCCGGAUGAACUGUGGUUAGCGGAGAAAUUCCAAUCGAACUCGGAGAUAGCUGGUUCUCCUCGAAAUAGCUUUAGGGCUAGCCUCGAGAGGAGUCUAACGGAGGUAAAGCACUGAACUGACGCGGGGCCCAAAAAGGUUACCAACUCAUAUCAAACUAAGAAUGCCGUCAAGAUACCCUCGGGAGUCAGACUACGUGAGAUAAGUCUCGUGGUCAAAAGGGAAAGAGCCCAGACCGACAGCUAAGGUCCCAAAGUGUAUGUUAAGUGGGAAAGGAUGUGGGAUUUCGAAGACAACUAGGAUGUUGGCUUAGAAGCAGCCAUACAUUUAAAGAGUGCGUAACAGCUCACUAGUCGAGAAAACCUGCGCCGAAAAUAAACGGGGCUAAAACAUACCACCGAAGCUACGGAUUUCCUAUGGAAGUAGGAAGUGGUAGAGGAGCAUAGUGCAGUAGGAAGAAGUCAAAGCGAAAGCGAUGAUGGACGAGGCAGUAGAGAGAAUGCCGGAAUGAGUAGCGAGAUAGAAGAAAGAAACUUCUAGGCCGAAUAUCUAAGGAUUCCUGGGUAAAGCUAAACUUCCCAGGGUAAGUCGGGACCUAAGGCGAGGACGAAAGUCGUAGUCGAUGGAUAACUGGUAGAGAUUCCAGUACUACAAAUAAUCAGAACUGUGGGGACGCAGGAGGAUAAGUAAACCGGGGAGAGGAAAGACCCGGUCAAGCAUAAAGGCAUGGUAAAUAGGAAAAACCGUUUAUCUAAGCUGAAAUGUGAAGAGGACUGAAAAAGAGUAAGGAAGUUACUGAAUCCACACUGUCGAGAAAAGCCGCUAUAGCGUUAUUUGUACCCGUACCGUAAACCGACACAGGUAGAUGAGGAGAAAAUCCACAGGCUGACGGGAGAAGUGUUGUUAAGGAACUCGGCAAAAUGACCCCGUAACUUAGGGAAAAGGGGAACCAACGAGAGUUGGUCGCAGAAAAGAGGCUCAAGCGACUGUUUAGCAAAAACACAGGUCUCUGCGAAACCGAGAGGUGAAGUAUAGGGGCUGACACCUGCCCGGUGCUGGAAGGUUAAAAGGAGAGGUAAGGCGCAAGCUGAAGCUUUGAAUUCAAGCCCCAGUAAACGGCGGCCGUAACUAUAACGGUCCUAAGGUAGCGAAAUUCCUUGUCAGGUAAGUUCUGACCCGCACGAAAGGUGUAACGAUUUGAGCACUGUCUCGACAACACGCCCGGUGAAAUUGAAGAACCAGUGAAGAUACUGGUUACCCGCAACAGGACGGAAAGACCCCAUGGAGCUUUACUGCAGCCUGAUACUGGGAUUCGAUGAUAUAUGUACAGGAUAGGAGGGAGGCUAAGAAGCGAGUACGCUAGUAUUCGUGGAGCCGCUGGUGGGAUACCUCUCUUAUAUCAUUGGAUUUCUAACUUGCAUCUGUGAACCAGAUGAAGGACAAUGUCAGGCGGGCAGUUUGACUGGGGCGGUCGCCUCCAAAAGAGUAACGGAGGCGCUCGAAGGUCACCUCAGAAUGAUUGGAAACCAUUCAAAGAGUGUAAAGGCAAAAGGUGGCUUAACUGCGAGAGCGACGGUUCGAGCAGGUACGAAAGUAGGACUUAGUGAUCCGGUGGUAAUAAGUGGGAAUGCCAUCGCUCAACGGAUAAAAGCUACCCUGGGGAUAACAGGCUUAUCACUCCCAAGAGUUCACAUCGACGGAGUGGUUUGGCACCUCGAUGUCGGCUCAUCGCAUCCUGGGGCUGUAGCAGGUCCCAAGGGUUGGGCUGUUCGCCCAUUAAAGCGGUACGCGAGCUGGGUUCAGAACGUCGUGAGACAGUUCGGUCCCUAUCCGUUGUGGGCGCAGGAUAUUUGAGAGGAGCUGUUCUUAGUACGAGAGGACCGGAAUGGACAUACCACUGGUGUACCAGUUGCAUACCAAGUGCACAGCUGGGUAGCUAAGUAUGGACGGGAUAAACGCUGAAGGCAUCUAAGCGUGAAGCCUCCCUCAAGAUAAGAUAUCCCAAAGCGCAAGUGAGUAAGGUCCCUUGA